CUGUGUCCUUCGACGCCGGUUCACCGCGUGUCGGUGACAACUGGCGUUUUGCGGGACGUCCUGUCGGUGGUGUGUCAGGAAUCUUAGUUGUGCUAUGCUCUGCUUAGUGCAGCUCUGGUUUCGGGCCACUUUCAUAAUCCCGCCGCGGUGCUCUUAAUCGAGUGUCGAGGCGGGCCGGCACGUUUACUUUGAACAAAUUAGAGUGCUUCAAGCAGGCUUGUCACGCCUGUAUACUGUGUGCAUGGAAUAAUGGAAUAGGACCUCGGUUCUAUUUUGUUGGUUUCCGGAAUCUGAGGUAAUGAUCAAUGGGGACAGGCGGGGGCAUUCGUAUUGCGACGUUAGAGGUGAAAUUCUUGGAUCGUCGCAAGACGGACCGAAGCGAAAGCAUUUGCCAAGUAUGUUCCCGUCGAUCAAGAACGAAAGUUAGAGGUUCGAAGGCGAUCAGAUACCGCCCUAGUUCUAACCAUAAACAAUGCCUGCCAGCGAUCCGCCGGCGUCCCUCCGAUGACCCGGCGGGCAGCUUCCGGGAAACCAGAGCUUUUGGGUUCCGGGGGAAGUAUGGUUGCAAAGCUGAAACUUAAAGGAAUUGACGGAAGGGCACCACCAGGAGUGGAGCCUGCGGCUUAAUUUGACUCAACACGGGAAAACUCACCAGGCCCGGACACCGGAAGGAUUGACAGAUUGAUAGCUCUUUCUUGAUUCGGUGGGUGGUGGUGCAUGGCCGUUCUUAGUUGGUGGAGCGAUUUGUCUGGUUAAUUCCGAUAACGAACGAGACUCUAGCCUACUAACUAGACGUAUCUGGUAUCAGCAAUCGUGCUACCAGCGAUCAUAUCUCUUCUUAGAGGGACAGGCGGCUUCUAGCCGCACGAGACUGAGCAAUAACAGGUCUGUGAUGCCCUUAGAUGUCCUGGGCCGCACGCGCGCUACACUGAAGGAAUCAGCGUGUCUUCCCUGUCCGAAAGGACCGGGUAACCCGCUGAACCUCCUUCGUGCUUGGGAUUGGGGCUUGCAAUUGUUCCCCAUGAACGAGGAAUUCCCAGUAAGCGCGAGUCAUAAGCUCGCGUUGAUUACGUCCCUGCCCUUUGUACACACCGCCCGUCGCUACUACCGAUUGAAUGAUUUAGUGAGGUCUUCGGACCGGUGCGCGGAGGCGGUUCUCUGCUCCCGAUGUUGUCGGAAAGAUGACCAAACUUGAUCAUU
rnacentral:rRNA from 1 species